rnacentral:rRNA from 1 species
UACGUAGGGUGCGAGCGUUAAUCGGAAUUACUGGGCGUAAAGCGUGCGCAGGCGGUGAUGUAAGACAGAUGUGAAAUCCCAGGGCUUAACCUUGGAACUGCAUUUGUGACUGCAUCGCUGGAGUGCGGCAGAGGGGGAUGGAAUUCCGCGUGUAGCAGUGAAAUGCGUAGAUAUGCGGAGGAACACCGAUGGCGAAGGCAAUCCCCUGGGCCUGCACUGACGCUCAUGCACGAAAGCGUGGGGAGCAAACAGG